rnacentral:tRNA from 1 species
GGGGACUUAGCUCAGUGGUAGAGCGCUUGCCUAGCAAGCGCAAGGCCCUGGGUUCAGUUCCCAGCUCCG